rnacentral:rRNA from 1 species
CAGUAGCCACGGUAAUACGUAGGGGGCAAGCGUUGUCCGGAAUCAUUGGGCGUAAAGCGCGUGUAGGCGGCUCGAUAAGUCUGCUGUGAAAGUCCAGGGCUCAACCCUGGAAUGCUGGUGGAAACUGUCGAGCUCGAGUCCGGAAGAGGCAAGUGGAAUUCCUGGUGUAGCGGUGAAAUGCGCAGAUAUCAGGAGGAACACCAAUGGCGAAGGCAGCUUGCUGGGACGGUACUGACGCUGAGACGCGAAAGCGUGGGGAGCAAACAGGAUUAGAGACCCCUGUAGUCCCUGUCUCUUAUAC